CGAAAGGGGCAGUAAUGCGUGGGUAACGUACCCCGAGGAUGGGAGCACUGAGGUAAUACUCGUAAAUUCCCAGCGACCUGGCGAGGGGGCAUCUUCUUGUCAGCAAAUGAAUUUCGCCUCGGGAGCGGCUCACGUCGUAUUAGCUAGUUGGUGGGGUGACGGCCUACCAAGGCAAAGAUGCGUAGCAGGUGUGAGAGCACGACCUGCGCCACUGGCACUGAGACACUGGCCAGACACCUACGGGUGGCUGCAGUCGAGGAUCUUCGGCAAUGAGCGCAAGCUUGACCGAGCGACGCCGCGUGUGCGAAGAAGGCCUUCGGGUUGUAAAGCACUGUCGAGGGGGAGGAAAGCCGUAAGGUCUGACCUAUCCCUGGAGGAAGCACGGGCUAAGUUCGUGCCAGCAGCCGCGGUAGGACGAACCGUGCGAACGUUGUUCGGAAUCACUGGGCUUAAAGGGCGCGUAGGCGGGUCAGCAAGUCCGGGGUGAAAUCUUUCGGCUCAACCGGAAAAGUGCCUCGGAUACUGCUGGUCUUGAGGGAGGUAGGGGUUGCUGGAACUUCCGGUGGAGCGGUGAAAUGCGUUGAUAUCGGAAGGAACGCCGGUGGCGAAAGCGAGCAACUGGAUCUCUUCUGACGCUGAGGCGCGAAAGCUAGGGGAGCAAACGGGAUUAGAUACCCCGGUAGUCCUAGCCCUAAACGAUGGGUACUAGGUAGUGGACUUUCAUGGGUUCACUGCCGAAGCAAAAGUGGUAAGUACCCCGCCUGGGGAGUAUGGUCGCAAGGCUGAAACUCAAAGGAAUUGACGGGGGCUCACACAAGCGGUGGAGCAUGUGGCUUAAUUCGAGG
rnacentral:rRNA from 1 species